CCUACGGGUGGCAGCAGUAGGGAAUCUUCCACAAUGGGCGAAAGCCUGAUGGAGCAACGCCGCGUGAGUGAAGAAGGUCUUCGGAUCGUAAAACCCUGUUGUUAGAGAAGAAAGUGCGUGAGAGUAACUGUUCACGUUUCGACGGUAUCUAACCAGAAAGCCACGGCUAACUACGUGCCAGCAGCGGCGGUAAUACGUAGGUGGCAAGCGUUAUCCGGAUUUAUUGGGGGUAAAGGGAACGCAGGGGGUCUUUUAAGUCUGAUGUGAAAGCCGUCGGCUUAACCGGCGUAGUGCAGUGGAAACUGGGAGACUUGAGUGCAGGAGAGGAGAGCGGAAUGCGAUGUGUAGCGGUGAAAUGCGUAGAUAUAUCGAAGAACACCAGUGGCGAAGGCGGCUCUCUGGUCUGUAACUGACGCUGAGGUUCGAAAGCGUGGGUAGCAAACAGGAUUAGAUACCCGGGUAGUC
rnacentral:rRNA from 1 species